UGUGUGUGUGUGUGUGUGUGUGUGUAAUAAAAGAGACUUGCUAUGAAAGCUUGAGGAAAAUAUAAUUAUCUCAGGAAAAAGAACACCAUCUGAUGAUUUAAGCCACCAUCUGACAAUUUAAGUCACUUACUCUUUAUAUAUUUACAUUUCCAUAUGGUCUGCUUUCUGAGUGAUGAAUUUUCUUUUCUUACAAAGAUAUCACUGAAAUAUGGUAAAAUUGCCAAUUGAUUUUGAUAUCACACUUCUCAAAAAAUAAUUUAGUAUUGCCACAUCUAAACAAAAAGCAUAAGGGCAGUGAAUGGAAAACAGAUGUUCAUCUCGGUGCGUAUUCAAAACAAUUUUUUAAAGUCAGAUGUCUCUGUAUAUGUGUUUGUACAGCCUCAAAACACAGUCUUAACAGUUUACAUAUUUAAAUGCUCACUCGUUUGAUAUAAUGUCAACUAAACAAGAUAGUGUUAAAAUCAACUACUCAAUUAUUUUUUUCCCCCAUCCUUUAUUUCUGUGGAUUUUUCAAACAUCUAAUACUGGAAGAUCUUGACCCUUUUAACCCAGUACAGGCCCCCCCUCUUAUUAAUACUUCACCCAAUUCUCUUUUUUAAAGUACCCUUUUUAGAGGGAAGUUGGGGCCUACAGUAUAUUUUAACAUUCUGGUGAGAGUUGAGAAACCAAAGCUAUCUAUCAAAGGGUUAUUCAAUUUUAGAAAAGGUAACCGGCCAUUAGAUAUUUGUGGGCAAUCAUUCAAGGAACAAAAAAAAAAAAAAA